CAGCCGCCGCGGUAAUACCGGCGGCCCGAGUGGCGGUCACUCUUAUUGGGCUUAAAGCGUCCGUAGCCGGGUUGGGAAGUCCUCCGGGAAAUCUGGCCGCUUAACGGUCAGAAUGCCGGAGGAUACUCCCAGCCUAGGGAGCGGGAGAGGCCGAGGGUAUUCCCGGAGUAGGGGGGAAAUCCUAUAAUCCCGGGAGGACCACCGGUGGCGAAGGCGCUCGGCUGGAACGCGUCCGACGGUGAGGGACGAAGGCCAGGGGAGCAAACCGGAUUAGAUACCCGGGUAGUCCUGGCUGUAAACGAUGCGGACUUUGUGUCGGACAAGCUAUGAGCUUGUCCGGUGCCGGAGGGAAACCGUUAAGUCCGCCGCCUGGGGAGUACGGCCGCAAGGCUGAAACUUAAAGGAAUUGGCGGG
rnacentral:rRNA from 1 species